rnacentral:rRNA from 1 species
CAAGCGGUGGAGUAUGUGGUUUAAUUCGAUGCAACGCGAAGAACCUUACCUGGUCUUGACAUCCCGGAGACCCUUAGGAAACUAGGGGGUGCUUCCAUCUGGAAGAAUCUGGAGACAGGUGCUGCAUGGCUGUCGUCAGCUCGUGUCGUGAGAUGUUGGGUUGAGUCCCGCAACGAGCGCAACCCUUGCCUUUAGUUGCCAGCAGUUCGGCUGGGCACUCUAAAGGGACUGCCGGUGUUAAACCGGAGGAAGGUGGGGAUGACGUCAAGUCCUCAUGGCCUUUAUGACCAGGGCUACACACGUACUACAAUGGCCGAUACAAAGGGCAGCGACACUGCGAGGUGAAGCCAAUCCCGUAAAAUCGGUCUCAGUCCGGAUUGGAGUCUGCAACUCGACUCCAUGAAGUUGGAAUCGCUAGUAAUCGUGGAUCAGCAUGCCACGGUGAAUACGUUCCCGGGCCUU